UCGAUCACCUCACCUCUCGACACUCUCACAAGACAAACCACAAACCUGUUUCGACACCAUCACUUGAUCACACCUCUUUCUGAACCUCCAAGCAUGUCGCCGCAGAUCGGAGUCGUCCGAGAAUCAAGAUACUUCGCCGGGGAUCGGAUUUCAUUUCGUGUUCACAUCGGAGCUCGACUGCAUGUCCACCGGAACCCGUACCCUUGCCGUUCGUCACACUCGGAGUUGGACGAGGAGUUACGCCGGAACGCGGCUCACACUUGUUUCGGUAUACACUUGCUGGUCCAUUUGUUUUCUUUCGGUUGAUUUAUCAAGAUACAAGAAAGCAAGCUAGGAUGGCCUAGAAACUCAUUUUAGAAAUAAACUAUUGUUGAAUUUAUAAUUGGAUGAUUGAAACUUUGUAUUAUCCUUUAGAAUCUAAUAAAAUGAUUUAAUUUA